CUGAAUCGUGAGAGGCUUUGAAACCCACCCCCCCCUCCCAAAUAAAACAAACCCCUUUGACUUCUUCUCUCAGCAGGAGGGGGAGGGAGGGCGGAUUUACCAUGAAGACAAAUCGAAGAUGCAGAGCCCUGCUAGCAGUGAGUCUGAAUCUGAUGGCUCUCCUCUUCUCUACAACAGCUUUUAUCACGACCCACUGGUGUGAGGGCACACAGAGGGUCCCCAAGCCGAGCUGUGGGAAAGAGAAGAAGACAAACUGCCUCAACUACGGCGGGAAUGAGACUGCAAAUGAGACGAACCAGAAUGUGGUUCAUUACAGCUGGGAGACGGGAGAUGACCGCUUCCUUUUCAGGUAUUUCCACACUGGGAUCUGGUACUCCUGUGAGGAAAAUAUCAAUGCUGCUGGUGAAAAAUGUCGAAGUUUUAUUGACCUUGCCCCGGCUUCUGAAAAAGGUGUGCUGUGGCUCUCAGUGGUGUCCGAGGUGUUGUACAUCAUGCUGUUGGUCGUCGGGUUCAGCCUCAUGUGCCUCGAGCUCUUUCAUUCAAGCAGUGUCAUAGAUGGGCUCAAGUUAAAUGCCUUUGCUGCUGUCUUCACUGUGCUUUCAGGUCUCUUGGGGAUGGUGGCACACAUGAUGUACACUCAAGUUUUCCAAGUGACAGUCAGCCUUGGGCCAGAGGACUGGCGACCACACUCCUGGGACUACGGAUGGUCCUUCUGUCUGGCGUGGGGCUCCUUCACCUGCUGCAUGGCGGCCUCCGUCACCACGCUCAACUCUUACACUAAGACUGUCAUUGAGUUCAGACACAAGCGCAAAAUCUUUGAGCAGGGCUUUCGAGAAGAGCAGAACUUCCUAGACCAGGAAGCCAUCAAGUACUUCAGAGAAAGGACUGAGGAGGAGAGGGCUGAGGCUGGGGACCUGAGGUUACAGUGCCUCCAUAGCUGCUCCCCAAAUAGAAAGAUGUGUGCAGUUUCAUGCAUCUAUUUCCUUGGAAAGAAAGCCAGUGAUCCUUCAUUCAGCAGGAGGGAGCCUUGGGAGAGUGACUUGCUGGCUCUGCGCUAUUAAAAUUUGGAAACCUCAUGGCAUUUUGCUGCCUCUGUCUUGCUGAGAUGCACAUCUCAGCCACAUACUCAUGGAAGCUUGGUGUCUGUACCCCCCACCCCUGAGGGUCCUGCUCCCUCCCCAGACCUGCUGGAACAGCUCUCCAGUCCCAUGUCACUGCAGGUGGUGUCCCCACAGGCAUGAUAGUGCUGGCACUGCUCUCCAGCUCUGUUUGCCAUCAGCUCACUUGCUAACUCCUGCUCCUUGAAAAUGUCAUGUCAGUAAUGGAUCUCUCCACAGGCAGAUCCAUGUCCUUCAUUCUCACAGGCCUGAAAUUGUCUAUUGGUAAAAAAUUGAUCUGGGUCACGUUUCCUGAGAAAGUUCCUCACCUGCCAAGCUCCUGGCAGGUGCUCAAAUGUGUUUAUUUUAUUAAUGAAGCCUGUCCAGAGGUCUUUGUUUCAAUAACAAGUCUUGGCAAUAGGUGCUCCAAGGAACAGGCUUUGCUGUUCCUAUGGCCAAUCCUGUCCCAAGAAUUUCCAUUUUAAAGGACCCAGAGCUCACCCCACAGAGUGCUGACAGCACUGGGAAAGCAAACCCCAAAUGAGAAGCCCACAGUCAGGUUAAAGAACAGUGGCCAUCCCUCAAUAUUCCAUCAGGCUCAGCCUCACAUCCGUUACCUUCUGUAAUGAAAUCAGAUCAAUAUUAAUGAAGUGACAGGAGAGAAGUUCUGCUCUCAGUUCACAGUUUACUUACAAAUCCAAUAGAAGCUGCAAAAUGCUCAUUAUCCAUGCUUAUUAGGGAGGAAAAACCAUUAGUUACUGCUGCUUGGGGUGGCACAAAGCCUCACAAUGCUCAGAUGAACCUCUCCUUCUCAAGCAAGUGCACCAAGCCAUAACUGGCCUGGGCCUGACUCCAGGAUCCUCCUUGAUGCUGGUUCCAAGGUCCCACACUCCCAGUCCUGGUCACAUUCCCCAUUCCAGGGGCCCGUGGCCAGCAGAGGAUUGAGAACGGCAAGAGAAGGGCUUGGCUAAAGGCAGAGCAGCCACCAAGGUCACACUGACCCCAAGGGGGUGUGGAAGAAGGGGACACAUCACUGGAACAGACCAACCCAGCAGCCAGUGCCAGCAGCAGAGGAAAUGCCGGCAGGUCACCAGGAGCUCUCCAUGGACACUUGGACACUUCCCACAGGGGUAUCCCAUGCCAGCAGGACACCAGGAGGCACCGGCUGCAGUUAUUCCUGCUGCUCUCCUCAGCCAGCACCUCGUUCCCUGCAGGACCUGCCAGCACCCAGAGUGCUCUGAGGAGGUUCCAGCCUGAAGCCAGCGCAGAUGAGGAGUACUGGCUCAUCCUCGGGCGUCGUGAAUCUUUCUGUCCUCCCAGCAAGACAAGACAGGGCAUCUGUCCUUGUUGAGAGGAAAGGAUCUGGGGGAGUGUCCCUGAGGAGUGAAAGAGCAAAAGCUGUAAAGAGGAGAACAAGGCUGAGCGAGUGUGGAAGACAAACACUACCUGGCCAGGGCUUCACAACACCCAGCUCUAAGUGUCACUAGCCCGCAGAAGAACAGGAGUGACCAUAAUGCUCAGAAAAUCCCCCCAUUCGCUACGUCAAGCUCUUCCAGCGACACAUCAAGCAGCUCUUCACUUUCAUCAGAAC